UCAUUGUUGUGCAUUUCAGACUUCUAAAACCAUACAUUAAAGGUCAGUAAGAGUAGUAGUGGCUAUAGUAUAUUUAAAAUAUAAUAAAAUUAAAAAAAAUAAAUAAAAAAAAAAUAUUAAAAAAAUGAAAAUAUGAGAUAGUUAAGUGAUCGGCUAAAAUUUCGUUAUGAUGUGUAUUAAAAGAAAUUAAAAAAUACGUCGGUUCGGUUUCUCGGUUAAUUCGUGCGCGAUAAAUAUUUUGCUUAAAAAAUAAUGAAAUCUUUCCUGUAUAUGUUGAAGUGAAAAACACAGUGAACAUUAACUGAAUGAAUUUAAAAAACUGAUUACGUGAUUUGAAAAAGUACCCUAAGUGGCUGCCUGUAAGCGCAAACAGUGUCGAGGUUUUCAAAUGGCAGACACGUUUCGCUCUUGGUGCAGAUAGGCGACGACAAUUCCAAGUUAAUGUAAGUAACUCAAUAUAUUUUUGUAUUCUUUUUAGAAAACCAAAU